rnacentral:rRNA from 1 species
AGCGAACGCUGGCGGCAGGCCUAACACAUGCAAGUCGAACGGAUCCUUCGGGAUUAGUGGCGGACGGGUGAGUAACACGUGGGAACGUGCCCUUUGGUUCGGAACAACUCAGGGAAACUUGAGCUAAUACCGGAUGUGCCCUUCGGGGGAAAGAUUUUUCGCCAUUGGAGCGGCCCGCGUCUGAUUAGCUAGUUGGUGAGGUAAGGGCUCACCAAGGCGACGAUCAGUAGCUGGUCUGAGAGGAUGAUCAGCCACAUUGGGACUGAGACACGGCCCAAACUCCUACGGGAGGCAGCAGUGGGGAAUCUUGCGCAAUGGGCGAAAGCCUGACGCAGCCAUGCCGCGUGAAUGAUGAAGGUCUUAGGAUUGUAAAAUUCUUUCACCGGGGACGAUAAUGACGGUACCCGGAGAAGAAGCCCCGGCUAACUUCGUGCCAGCAGCCGCCGUAAUAC